GGGUGUGAUCAUACUAGCACUAAAGCACCACAUCCCAUCAAAACUCUGAAGUUAAGCAUGCUUGGACAAGAGUAGUAGUAGGAUGGGUGACCUCCUGGGAAGUCCUCGCGUUGCAUUCC
rfam:Triticum aestivum genome assembly, contig: Triticum_aestivum_CS42_TGACv1_scaffold_392481_5AS